rnacentral:rRNA from 1 species
GAUGAACGCUGGCGGCGUGCCUAAUACAUGCAAGUCGAGCGAACAGACGAGGAGCUUGCUCCUCUGACGUUAGCGGCGGACGGGUGAGUAACACGUGGAUAACCUACCUAUAAGACUGGGAUACCUUCGGGAAACCGGAGCUAAUACCGGAUAAUAUAUUGAACUGCAUGGUUCAAUAGUGAAAGACGGUUUUGCUGUCACUUAUAGAUGGAUCCGCGCCGCAUUAGCUAGUUGGUAAGGUAACGGCUUACCAAGGCAACGAUGCGUAGCCGACCUGAGAGGGUGGACGGCCAGACGGGAACAGAGACACGGUCCAGACUCCUACAGGAGGCAGCAGUAGGGAAUCUUCCGCAAUGGGCGAAUGCGGGACGGAGCAACGCCGCGUGAGUGAUGAAGGUCUUCGGAUCGUAAAACUCUGUUAGUAGGGAAGAACAAAAGUGUAAGUAACUAUGCACGUCUUGACGGUACCUAAACAGAAAGCCACGGCUAACUACGUG